rnacentral:rRNA from 1 species
CCCUUAGAUGUUCUGGGCUGCACGCGCGCUACACUGACGAAGGCAACGAGCUUUCCUUUACCGAAAGGUACGGGUAAUCUUUUGAAACUUCGUCGUGCUGGGGAUAGAUCCUUGCAAUUUUUGAUCUUAAACGAGGAAUGCCUAGUAAGCGCAAGUCAUCAACUUGCGUUGAUUACGUCCCUGCCCUUUGUACACACCGCCCGUCGCUACUACCGAUUGAAUGGUUUAGUGAGGCCUUCGGAUCCGCGACUCGUUUUGUGGAGAAGUUGGACAAACUCAGUCAUUUAGAGGAAGUAAAAGUCGUAACA